rnacentral:rRNA from 1 species
UACGUAGGGUGCGAGCGUUGUCCGGAAUUACUGGGCGUAAGGAGCCCGUAGGUGGUUUGUCGCGUUGUUCGUGAAAACUCACAACUCAAUUGUGGGCGUGCGGGCGAUACGGGCAGACUGGAGUACUGCAGGGGAGACUGGAAUUCCUGGUGUAGCGGUGGAAUGCGCAGAUAUCAGGAGGAACACCGGUGGCGAAGGCGGCUUUCUGGUCUGUAACUGACGCUGAGGCGCGAAAGCGUGGGGAGCAAACAGG